CAAGUUAGAGCUUAGAGCAUUUUAUUUACAUUAAAAAGUUUAAUUGUUAAUUCAAUUUAAUUUGA
rnacentral:tRNA from 1 species